AUACGAAGGGGGCAAGCGUUGUUCGGAAUAACUGGGCGUAAAGCGCACGUAGGCGGAAUGUUAAGUUAGAGGUGAAAUCCCAGGGCUCAACCCUGGAACUGCCUUUAAUACUGGCAAUCUAGAGACCGAGAGAGGUGAGUGGAAUUCCGAGUGUAGGGGUGAAAUUCGUAGAUAUUCGGAGGAACACCAGUGGCGAAGGCGGCUCACUGGCUCGGUACUGACGCUGAGGUGCGAAAGCGUGGGGAGCAAACAGGAUUAGAAACCCUAGUAGUCC
rnacentral:rRNA from 1 species